rnacentral:rRNA from 1 species
AUUGAACGCUGGCGGCAUGCCUUACACAUGCAAGUCGAACGGCAGCACGGGAGCAAUCCUGGUGGCGAGUGGCGAACGGGUGAGUAAUAUAUCGGAACGUGCCCAGUCGUGGGGGAUGACGUAGCGAAAGCUACGCUAAUACCGCAUACGAUCUAUGGAUGAAAGCGGGGGAUCGCAAGACCUCGCGCGAUUGGAGCGGCCGAUAUCAGAUUAGGUAGUUGGUGAGGUAAAGGCUCACCAAGCCGACGAUCUGUAGCUGGUCUGAGAGGACGACCAGCCACACUGGGACUGAGACACGGCCCAGACUCCUACGGGAGGCAGCAGUGGGGAAUUUUGGACAAUGGGCGCAAGCCUGAUCCAGCAAUGCCGCGUGCAGGAUGAAGGCCUUCGGGUUGUAAACUGCUUUUGUACGGAACGAAACGGCGAGCUCUAAUACAGUUUGCUAAUGACGGUACCGUAAGAAUAAGCACCGGCUAACUACGCGCCAGCAGCCGCCGUAA